UAUUGGGUCCCACAUUUUUGAAAGUCCAAUAGCAAAAGCCCACGUGUCAAUUUUCAUCUUCAUUUUCGUCACCUACAAUGAGUUGAUGUAUUUGUGGGUGAAAGCUUUACAAAUUUCGGCUGAUUUUUCCACUCAGUUUUUCUUUGUGAUAGACUCAUCUGACAACAAUAAAAUCUCAAUGGACUCGCAUUUUCUUGGCUCUAAACGGUUUAGACCGCUAUUGUCCGACUGAGGGCGUCGUGGAGUUUUUAGCGUUUCGCGAAGUUUUUGUUGAUGUGUCUUGGAUCUCCCGCUUCGCAGAGUUGUAUGGGGGUCGGACGAAUUUUGGAGGAAAGCAGCAGCCAUCGUCGCCUCCGCCGCCUCCGCGCCGCCUGCUGCCUCGCGUCGCCCGCCAUGCCCAUUCUGCGAAGGGCAUAGGCGGCGGCCGCCGCCGACCGCGUAUUUCCGGCAGUUACGUUUUUUCAGGUUUAAAAUUAUUUUUCUAGGGUUUCACUUCCAUUCUCGACUCCCCAGCCUCCCUAGGCGAUUUUCACUGUAUUUCCUUAGUUUUUGAGAGUUAGAAUAGGUCUUAAAAACAUUGGAUCAUUCGGAUUGAAGUUUUGCAUCGAAUUUAUGUAAGAUCUCAUUAAAUUUUCAUUACUAGUUUUAUCGA